rnacentral:lncRNA from 1 species
CCCUUAACACUUCACACAACAAACACCUAAAUCUUACAUUGAAAAACGGGGGACUUUACCACCCUAAUCACCAACACCUCAAGCCAAGAAUGCAAACACAAGUUACACUCACUUUCCUAGCCCUAGUUUCGGUUUUGGAGUUCCUCUCCCAAGUCUAGAGAGAACUUUAGAUGUUCAAAAUAUUACAACUCUCAAUAAUCAUAAACUCUCUAUGAAUAAAAUCUUAAGUUGUUAAAUUUAUAUUACAUUCCCAAAAGAGUUAAAAUGACGAAGCUGAUCUUUUAAUGAUUAAGGCUUCAAGGCUUCCCCUUGAGUGUAGACAUAGAAGCGGAUAUUUGAUUCUUCCACACUUAAGCUCGGGUCUUCUCUUAGUUGCCUUUGACAUACACAAAAAGUGUCCAUCUAUGAGAUCACACUUGUAUCAAAAAUAGUAGCAUGUGUUAGCAAAACAUAACAAAAGGGAGUGGUAAAAUUCAAUUAUAAGAAUUUAAAUGGUUUUUUCUUGAAGUAAAAUAGAUUUUAGAUUUUUAUAGAAUUUGAAUAAGCAAAAAAAAAUCAAGGUGAAAUAGACCAUUAUAUAUAUAUGUAUAUAUAUUGGUCACUUUUUUUUAUUUUUUAUUUUUGGUGACACAACCAAUGGAAAUAAUUUGAACUCACUAAAUUGAACCCACUAAGAACCACAUAGGUCCACCCCUGUGGCUCAAACAACCUUCAGGAUAGCUUAACCAAAUUAUACAUGCUAGAACAUGAAGGAGUGCCUUAUAGUAACAGGUAAAGUUGUUGCCAUGUGACAAAUAGGUCAAGGGUUUAAGCCAUAGGAAUAGCCUAUUGCAGAAAUGAAAGGUAAGACUUCAUACAGAAGACCCUUGAGGUCCGACCAAAAUUCCAGACCCCGCGCAUAGAGGGAGAUUUAGUGCACCUCGCGCAUAGCGGAGGAUUUAGUGCACCGGGUGUUUUAUCCUUUUUGUGAUUUUAUUUGAAACAAAUACUUUUGACCUCUUUAAACUAUUUCAGUAAUUUAAAAUUAAUUUUAAGAAAAUAAUAGAGUCACCACUUGACUUUUAUAAAGAAAUAUCAACAAAAACUUAGAAAUUUCAAAGAUUCAGAAAUAGAAAUAAAUCUUUGAAACAAGAGAAAUAAGUAAGAAUUUAUUUAACGCCCUAAUAAUAUUUUCAAGACACUUAUGAGUAUCCAUUUAAAAAUAAUUUACUUAAAUAUUUUGACUAACUUCAAAAAGUGGCUUGUUUUGCAAGGACUCGAUUUUGUAGGGAAUAUGAAAAUUAAUUAUGUUUUAAUACCUAAAUUGACAUUUAUUCAUCCAAGUGAAAAAAAUAUUUCACUUAAAUUAAAGAAAAAUAAAUUUAAACUAAAUUUCAAAUUUUUGAAAUUUAGAGGAAAACAAAUUUACAUAUUUUAUUGAAAAAAGAAUAAUAUUAUUUUAUUUAUUUUUGAGUAGGGAAGUUGAUUUUAUUAGAAAUAACACUUUUGGAAAAAAUGUGAAGGGAUUAUCAAAUUAAGAGAAAUUUAUUAAUUAGAAAGUUAAAUUUUUCUACAAAAAUUAGUUUUGUUUGGGUUAUAAUAAAAUUACCUUUAAUCCAAGUAAAAUAUAAGUCACAUGAACAAAUCAAACACCAUCUUGGUGUGAAAGAUUUUUAAUUUUUUGGAAGGCUCUAAGGAGAAAAAUUAAAGGAACCUAUUUUGAUACAUUUUGAACAAGAUAAAUUACGUGAGAUAAUACGAAUUAUGCGAAGGAAAACCAAGAUAAAAUAGAAUGGAAACACCUUAGGAAAUCACUUAGAUUAAUUAAAUAAAGUUAGUACAAAUUACACGCAACAAGAAAAAAAGGAAAGAUGGCAAAAUUUGAGAUUUGAGGCCCUGCUUUGGCCUAUUAAGUUGUCUAGAGGAUUAAAAUUCAUUUUAUGGACUUCUUCAGUCUAUUUUCGAUGUGUAUAGUGGUUUUAUGUCAUGGCUCUUUUUCUCUGUGUUUUCUAUAUAUACAAUGUAUAUCAGCAUAGAAAACUGUAUAUUUGCUUCCUAGUCUUUGUUCAUUGUUGUAUAUACAAUACUCUUUUAUAUCAGCUAUCUUCAAACUAUGAAACCUAUAUAUUUGUUGUAUACCAUUGAAUACACCAUGUCUCUUCAUUAGUCAAUCCUUUUUUGAACUUUUUGUAAUGACCAUUUUCGUUGUUAUGUACAAACCUCCCGUUAAAAUUUUGUAUUAAAAUUUUUCUAGAAUUUUAUGUUAUAUAUUUCAAGCUAAGCUAGUUCGAGUGAAAUCAAAGUAAUUUAUGGUCUAGGGGAAUUCUAGAAUUAUUUGGGCAAGUUGGGUGAUUUUUUAUUUGAUCUUCCAUUGGCUAAGACGAUAAAGAACCCAUAGGAAUUUAUGGAAUUGAAUUUGGAUGAUUAGUGUGAGUGUCAGACCUGAAGGGAAUGGGUCGUGACAAUGUUUGUAUAAGAGACUAGGUUCACCGAUCUCAACGUACCAAAAUGGGUCCAAGAAGUCUCGCAGAAUGGUAUGGAGACGUCUGUUCUUUUCUUGGGGAAGCUAUAGGACUUUAGGAAAUCUGUCAUUAUUGUUUCUUUUUUGCCAUAACUUGAUUCCAACUGGUAUCUUACAAUCCAAAUUGGUAUCUAAUCCUCUUCAUUCUUUUGUCCGCAGAUGGUGGAGUCAUCCCAACAACCCCCAUACUAUAUGCUCCAACUACAGAGCUAGUCAUAAGAGCAAGAGGAUGAGUGAGACAGAGUGGUAUGGGAAGAAGGGGAUGAGCCACACCCGCCAGUGGUGAGGCUCAAGAAGUAACUGGCCAGAUCUUUAAGAGGUCAGUAUCACCUUCCCAAUUUUAGGAUCAUGUUAUAGAAAGAGAAGUAGUAGAGCAGAAGUGAGUGGAGCCUGAGGUGGCGGGUGAACCAAGAGUUUCAAGGUUAUCCCGUGUGUCCACAGAGGUUGUUUGGUAGGUGUUAGCUUUCUGAGUGGGUUAGCAGGGACUGGAGAAACACCCACUAUACCGUCUUUUUAUGCUUUAAUUGUUCAUCUACUAUAAUUAUGGCUCUAAGAAUGGGUGAUGCUUCAGGGAACAAUGCUUCUCUUCAUCCAAUUUUGGAUUUGGUGAUGACCGAUACAGAACACGAACUAUUGACAAAAUUUUUGAAGAUGAAACCUCAAACAUUCCAUGGUACCAAUUUUGUAUAUGAUUUCGUUCAUUAUUGAUGACUGUGAGAGGUGGAGAAGCAUGCUAAGUAAUGGCGAAGGGUGUACGUAGAAUGUCGGUCACAAAUUUUGGAUUUGUUGACUUAUGAAUAAUUUUAUGCCUUAUUCUUCUUAAAGUAUAUGCUUUAUUCUCUUCGAGAUAGAAAUAAUGAUGAGUUCUUAGCUUAGUAGGAGGGUGACGUAUCUAUUGAAGACUAUGAGGCUAAGUUCCAUCCCUUCUCUACUAUGCCUCUUAGUUAUUUACUACUAAGGAGGAGAGGAUUCCUCUCUUUGUUAAGGAUUUGAAUUAUGAUCUUGAGUUCUUUCUGUGCAUAUGAUAUCCACACAAAAGGGUUCAAUGAAGUUUCUGACUAUGUGAAGAAGUUGUAUGGAACGCAAGCAGAUCAAGAUAAGAUGUUAGCCAAGAUGUCCCACAAUGUUGAAAAUUUUAGUCUAUCUUAAAAGAUAUCGUAAAGUUCAAUACUUUCAGUAGUUCAAAGGACGGGGUGACAUACUCAUACUUCAUUGUAAUUCAAAGCAUCUUAAAAAGUCUUAAAAUAUUAUAAUUUUAUCAUUUUACUUUUCAAAUUAAUAUAUAAAAGAAUACCAUUUCAAAUAGUCAUUUCAAGUAUCAAAACCCUUUACUAGUGAUUAAAAAACAAUUUAUAUGAAGAGUGAAAUCAAUAUUUAGCCUUUCGUAAAUGUAAUUCUCAACCCUAUUUUUAAACCAUCAAUAUAAUAUAUAUAUAUAUAUAUAUAUAUGUAUAUAUAUAUAUAUAUAUAUAUACAUAUAUAAUCAUCAACUUUUAGUAGUAGUUGAAGUAGGGGCAUUCAAUAUACCUUUUUGACGAAGAACGAAAAAAGGAACUGUGAUAAUUAGCCUUAGACCUUACUUCUUGAAUCCUUGAGAGUCCUUAGACUUAGAGUGGACAAGAGAAGAGUUGUUUUUAAUUUGACUUAGGACAAAUCUCGAUUAGAAAAAAUCUUUGGAGAGCCUUAUUGAACUUGUGAGCUUUGGAGAUUUGGAAUUUGAAAAACCCUUCUUGAAUUUAUGAGAAUUAGGAGAGAAAAGAAAUUAGGAUUUAGGAAUGAAUCUCCUAGUUUAGGAGGUCUUUAGGGAUUUAAAAUGAGUUGAGGGAGUUACACGGGGUGUGAAAAAUACUUUUUCCCUGAGUUAAUUAGAGAACUAUAGAAGUUUUACAUCUAGGAGAGAGAGUGCAUGGCCAAUUGUGUGGUACCCAACCGUGCCUUACAUGGCUCAGUAUGCAUCUUGGAUAAUGUCUCACUAAAAUACACAUAACUUGUUCCUCUGAAAAUAGAUUGAUGAAUGGUCAGAGGAGUUGGAAAGAAGACUAGGAAACUUUUAAUUUUGUAGGUAUUAGGCAACCUUAGUAUAUUCUAGGAGCAAUGGCUUUUAGAAGUUGACCCAAGUAAGAACUUGUACUAAAACUCAAUCAGUAUGAAAUUUCUCAACUCAACUUUGAGUUAGGAGAUUUCUAUAACCUCAAUUCAUCUCCAAAACUCCUCCCACACUAAAGAAUUGAUAUUUAGACUUAUAUCUAAGUUGAAAUUAUUGGGUUCAGGUCUAUACGGGUAUAAAAGAUGGUUCAAAUUCUAUUUCAAAAGUGUGGAAUGUAACACAAGCCUAGGACUUGGACACAAUAGGCAUCCCAGAUCAAUGAAGGCCCAAGAAGAGUCUUAGCAUCUCAUCAUAGGCAUAGGCAUCGGUAACAUGUAGAAAUAGGCCCAUAAAAUAUUAAGUUCAACUUAAAUAAGAAUUGUAAAACCAAGACUUGAAAUACGACAUAAAGACAACUUUCUACAUCAGUCUAUGAAGCCAAAAACAUUAUUAGUGAAAUUCCUAAGUCGGUAAUGGCCCCGGUGAUACCAUAAGACAAAUGAACAAUGUCUAAAUGAAUGAAAGAAAACAUAUGUCUUCCUAAGGAUAGAAGGAUCACUAAUUGUUACUUGUUGUCCCACGGAGAACCUAAUGUUGCAAGAGUCAGGAAUAAAUGCCUUCAAACCUGAAUCAUGAAAAGAUAUAGCAUCCGACGAUGGUUUGUGUGACAGUACUAGCAUGAGACCUAGAGAAAGGGACAAAGUCAUUUAUAAAGCAAGUCCUAAAGUUCAUAGAGGAAGUUUGGAGAAAGAGAUUCAAAAUAUGAAAUUAUAAUGAAUUAUAAAAUUUAUGUAAUACCCCGUACUAAUCCUAGCUCGACUCAUCUCAUAGUUGCAUGCUUAAGGGGCUUAUGGCUUGAAAUUUUUACUAAGUGUUGGAGACUUAGUCAUUUUCAAGACCCCUAAACUUUGAGAAUUUUCAUUUGGUCUUUCCAACCCCGAGACAUUAGUUCUUUAGUUAAUUCAUGUUCAAGGAAGUAAGAAGUAUAUCUAGGGGAAGUUUCAAAUUUUUUGAAUGAGGAUUGGGUCACUUCUUAAUUUCAAUUCCAGAACCUCACCGUGAUAGCGGUGCGUCGCGGUGGGUAUGGCGAUGGGCAUAUCAUUGCAUCGCAGUGAAAGUGUUUUUGUCCAGUUCUUGAUUUAUAAUUUUAGCAUAUGUAUCAUUAUCUUUAUCCUAGUGUGUAAAGUGCUUAUUAGGUUAAAAGUGUUCAUAGAAAUCACUUAGAGCAAAAUUGAGUUAAGAGCCUUUGAUUCGUUCCAAACUUGGUAUUCCAUUCUACAAGGGUCAACUUUGAAAGUGUAUAACUUUCUAUGUACGUAGAAUUUUUUAGCUCAAGACCUACCAAAUUGUAGAUAAAUGAAUUAGCUUUCCAACUAUACCAAUUUUGUCUUAAUCUGAUACCCGAGCAAAAAGUUAUGAUCAUUUUCGUCAGAACCAACAGGUCACCACGAUAAGACCACAUCAUGAUGAACCUUUAAUCCGUAUUUUAGUUAUGAAUUUUUUGUUUAAAUGAUGAAGGAGAACUUGGGUCUUUUCCAACCUCAACCCAAUUCAUAAAAAUAUGACCUACGAGUUCAAUUAGGGCAUUUUAUGCCCAUAUUCACCAAAUUUCCUCUCAAGAACAUACCUUAAUCAUCCCCAAGUUCAUCCAUUCCAUCAUCCUCUCUUCAAGGAAACCAAGAAUUUAAGUUCUCUAACCAAGAAUUUUCAAGAAAACUUUCAAGAUCAUCUCCAUGGCUUUUAAGGUCAAGGUUUCACCAAGUCAAGUCUAUUAAGGUAUGUGAGGUUAUGAACAAGGGUAUCCUUUCACCCUUGUGCCCAAAUUACAUGAUUUUAAGAUUUUAUUUAAUUAUUUUAAAGUAGGGUUCAUACCCAAGUGUGUGUGUAUAUAUAUAUAUAUAUAUAUAUAUUCUUGAAGCAUGGGAUUAUUAUGAGAUUUAAAGCAUUGAGUAUAUCAAGAGUUACUUAAGUUUAUGUUUUAACCUAUAAGUUUUAUAUUAUACAUGAGAUUGCACUAUCUUGACAUGAUAUUGUUCAAGUAUUUCAAGAUUAUUACUGAGCAUAGAGUUUAAAGCAUGGGUUUUAAGCCGUAAAUUUAUGUGUUUAGAUUUCAAGAAGAUCAUGCUCUUAAGUUUUAUUUGAUAAGUUUAUACCAAGAAUGAGUUUGAGAUUUUAAGAAGACUAUGAUAUUAAGCUUCCUUGAUGGUUUUAUACCAAGAUUUAAAGAAAUAUCGAUCUUUUGAUCCUAAGCUAACAUAUGGAAUCCACACUUGUUCAUUUUGAUUACAGAUUAAAGCAUAGAGAAGCAUAGCUAGUUUUUAUUAUAAACCCUUAUGCUAUUUUAAGAUGCAUUUCCAAAGAAAAAGUAUGAGAAUAUAAGUAUGAUGGGAGUAGUAUUUAGCACCAAGUUGGGUAUGAGUCCAAGUCACAUGUCCCAGAACUACGUGCCACCAUAGGUUUAAGUGCCCAUAGUGGGAUAAGUAUAGUGAUCACUUAAGUUAAGAUACUAUUCCGAUGGCAAGGGUAGGAUGGAUCUCCCUAACAUGGGUAAGACGUUGGACUCCAUGAUAGCUCACAUGGUUUAUGUAGAUUAGAAAAAACUCCCGAAAAAAGAAAAAGUAAAAGUAAAGCUUUUAGAAACUAAAUGUGCUGGCUCACAAAGUUUAUUCAGUAUGCUUUAUUAUUUAUGUUUUAUGAUUUUUCAUCUUUCAGUUUUAUUCAAUCCCAAGGUGAGUCGCUUACACUUAGCUUGCAUUAUUUGAAAAUCUAUGAAUAUAUUAAGUUAUUAUUUUAUUUAUGCAUUCACCCCCACAUACUCAGUAUAUUCCAGAAGUAUUGAUCCGCAUAUAUGUCUAUGUGCUACAUUGUAUCAUAAUGUAGGUACUAGUUGUAGCUCACACAUCAUCAUCAAACAGUUUGCAGCUUCCCGUCAGCAUGUGAUGAAUACUUUUGAUUCAAGGGCUCAAGUCAAUCAUAGUUCGAGUAGCAUUUUUUUUUCUUUAUUCAAUCGUAUUGAUUUGGGAUAGAUGGGGGUCAUGUCCCGGCUACCUAUAGUAAAUAUUAGUAGUGGUUUAAUAGACAGUCAGUAUAGUUGAUGUUUGAAAUUUAAGUUUGAUUUUGUAUAACCAGAGUUGUAAUCAUUUUAUACAAUUUUGUACUGUACCUAUUUAGUAAAGACAUCUCUUUCACUUAUUUCUUUUAGAUUAAUGUAUCUUAUGUAGUUGCUCAUGGGUUAUGCCAUUAUAUGGGUUACCUUGGGAUAUUUAUGGUCCUAAGCACCGUGUGACAUUUCGGGGGUAGUCUCGGAUCAUUACAAUUUACUUCUGAACUAUAUAGCACUAACUCUAAGUAAUCGAAGGGAUAUAUGGGUCUGUAUUCACCAACCUAUGGGGGCCCAAUCGAUGUUUGCUGCAUGAGUAAGAUAAACAUAAUUUGGACAUCAUAAUAUUAUCAUAAAGGGAAUAAACAUCAUAAGGUUGUUCCGUUAGGAGUGAACCAUCCCUACAUUGGCAAAACAUAAUUUUUUGGCGUUGGUCACGAAGAUUUACACCUUCUCUGUGAACUACAUAAUUAUAUUUAAGCCCAAUUUAAAAUAAUUUUCAUAACCAUUUAUCCCUGGAUCUUUUGUAAAGGUAUUUAUACUUUGGUAUCGUCAUACUAAGACUUGCAAGUUAUCCAUAUCAUGCCAAAAUCAUUAUCUUAAAAUAUUAUAGACUUUAAUGCCGCCUUUUCAAGUAUUUGAACAUAGUUAACAUUCCUCAUAAAGGUUAAAGACUCCAUAUUUAAAUAACAGUACUCUUAAAAAAACAUAGAAUAUAGAUAUUUGUUCCUUCUUACCAAAAUCAAAAUUUGAGUAACAAGGUGAAUUACAAGAGGAAUAUAAAUUUUUGAAUUCAAUACACCCCAAUAAAAUUUCUUAUUCAUAAAGUUUCAUAUUUCAAACAAUAAUCUCCAAAUCUCAAGUUCCAUUAACAAUUCAAGCCUUAGUUCAUCAAAAAGAGGUUUUCAAUUUUAAAUAAUUCAUCCUUUUGAAAAUCAAUCAAAAACCCAUUUUUAAAACUCAUAUAAACUAAUUUAAUUAUUGGAGAAAUCGAUCUAGCUUUUCUCACUCUAUCCCACCUAAUUGGUGACCUACACCUCCUGCUCUAAAAUGCCUCAAAUGGUACCAUCUGGCUACUAGAGUGAUAAUUAAUAUUGUAUGAAAAUAUCCUUAAAAUCAAUAACACAAUCUCUUAAAAUAUCAUCUAAAUUUUGAAUAGUACAAUCGACUUUCCCUGUUUCAACAUGAAAAGCGGUGGUAAGAUUCACUUGUAUGUUCAAACCCUUCUAAAAAGAUCACUAAAACUUAGAAGAAACUUUCCUACCUCUAUCGAAUUUUAGGAAUAGAGGGGCUCAAUGAAAUCUAACAAUCUGUAAAAUGUACAACUAUGCAUAAUAUUCUUUCGAAUAAGUCGUCCACAUUGGCAGAAAAUGAGCAGUCUUGGUCAUUUUGUAAACGAUGACCCAAAUAGAAUCAUCUUGGUUGUGAGAACGCCGGAGACCCAUGACAUUACAAAAAUAUUAUAGACUUUAAUACUGUUUUUUCAAAUAUUUGAACACAUUUAACAUGCCCCAUAUAGGUUAAAGACUCUACAUUUAAAUAGCAAUGCUUUAUAAAAAAAAAAAAAAAAUAUAGAUAUUUCUUCCUUCUCACCAAAUCAUGAUUUGAGUAACAAGGUGAAUUACUAUAGGAAUAGAAAUUAUUGAAUCCAAUCCACCCCAAUAAGCUUUCAUAUUCAUAAAGUUUAAUAUUUCAAACCAUAAGCCCCAAUUCUCAAGUUCCAUUAACAAUUCAAGCUUUCUCAAAAAGAGUUUUUUAAUUUUAAAUAAUUCUUCGUUUUUAAAAUCAAUCAACAAUGAACAUUUAAUACUCACAUAAACCACUUGAAUAAUUGGGGAAGACAUCCAAGAAUAAUUUUGUAGAAAGAGGGUUGCUCAAAAUAUCUUUUGUCGGAAGGAAUUUGAGAAAGGUUGAAUUUUGAGACAUGAAUCGUGAACACUAGUUGACUUUGCUUCUAAGAGUUUUGAGAAAGAGUAGAAUGUAUUUUGACUAUUGAAAACGCAUUUAGGGUUUUGGGGUUGUUUAGUAUAGGUAGAGGACGGUUUUUAAUCAAGGAAAGGACCCUAAUGGCUCUAAAAUAUAAAAAUUUAAUGAAAUUCCAUCAGGCCAUGGGGGAGGGGGAGAGGGAGGGGGCUGCACGGCUUGCCCCCCAUUGUGUGCCCUUCUCUUGCAUAGCGUUCUUCCCAGAGCAAAGGUGAAACAGAAGGCCCACCAGCCUGGCUGUGUGGCGUGGAGCUUGAAUCCAAGUAUCCCUGAAUGUGAUGCAUGGGCCCGAUAUUAUGUCCUAAUCAUCCUAACCAUCCCCUAACUCAUCCUUAAUGAUUUAUACUCAUUUUUAUUCAUUCUAAUAAGACAUUCAAAUGUACGGGUUGUUACAUGUAACGACCCUAAAGGUGAUACUUUGUUUAUAUCUCGUUUUCCAUCUUUUGAACCUUACCAUAAUUUCAACUUUGUCUUUGCAAUUUGUGGGCAUGGAAGACAUAUAACUCUCAAGGUGAUUGGAUGUGUUUUGGAGAAAAUUUUCAGUUUGGAAGGUUUAAGAUUUGGAGAAUUAGUCAAAUAUAAAAUAAUGGUUUGGUUGGUUAGGAUUUGAGUUUCGAUGAUUCCAACUAAGUUCGAAGGGCAAUUUAUGACUUUGUCGGAUAUGGUUUGCAUGGAUCCCUAAGGUGUAUGAGUGUGGUUUGGUCCGUUGUGUUGUAUUCUAACUUUAUUAAAGUUUAGAGUUGACCACGGACAAUAUUUGAUCAAGAUGGUGAUUUGAUGAGUCCAACAGAUUCAGAAUGUGUUUCAUGGUCAAUUUGCAUUAUUGGUUAAUGUUCAUAAAUUUCGAAUGCAUUUUGAGAGUUUUGGAAAUGUUGGUUUGUUGUUUCUAGUGCAGCUACAAAUACUUCUUUGAGUUUGUGAGGCCUUGGUUGCUUUCAUGGAGAUAGAUUAUCAUUGGUCAUCCCAUUCUAGAUAUCCCGUCACAUGCGAGGGUUAGGGUCAUCUAGUCCAGAUCAACAUUAUUCUUCACAUUCUCGAGGUAUUUGGUUGGGUCAGUGGUUGUGCUUGCGCAGAGUAAAGAGUACAUGGACAGAAUUUAAAAUCAUACUAUAUUUCAAAACGUGGACUUCAUAUAUUUGUUUGGGAGCUAGAGAGCUCAAUUUUGAGAGAUUUUUUAUGGGACUUCAAUAAAUCCAUAUUUAAUAUUCUUCCACUAAUUAAUAUCUCCCUUAUUUCAUGAAUUAAUUUGAAUUUGGGUAUUGGAAACUGGAUUUUAUGCCCUGAAGCAUUAAAAUUGAUAAUUUUCAUGAUUUGAGGUUUGAUUCGUGCUCGAAAUUUGUGAUUUUUGAUGCAUAAGAUUUUAUGUAAUGCAUAAACAAAUUUUUAAUUUUAUUACCAGCAUUCUCCUCGAGGCUGAGAAUGACACUUCAAAUUGAUUUUUUAUCUAAAAUUUUUAUAUAGUCGUAUGAAUGUCGAUAGACUCGUAUACUAAUAUAGAGUCCAAUCCGAUGCCCUUCAAAACGAAAAGGAGGCAUUAUUGUGAUGGUUCGUGACUUGUUUCCCUUCAAAAGAAAAAGGAGGCAUUAUUGUGAGGGUUCGUGACUCGUUACUUGGUAUCCAAGGUAGUAUGUGGCUUACCUUGUAAACUCUGCUGGGAGAUGAUUAUUGUAUAUUGAUUAUGAGGGCUUUGGCAAUAUCAGGAUUGCCAAAUUCUAUUGUGUUGAUUAGUAUUUGGACACUAGUGUAUUUUGAAAGGUACUUUAUGACGUACAAAUAUUGGAAGAGCUACUUCUUGAUGUGAAUCUAGGUUGGAAAUUAGUUGAUAGACUUUAUAGACAUUGUUUGACUUGUUUGUAUAUGGCUAGAAGAGCCUUGAGUGAAUUGUCGAUUGUUGACUCGAGAUACUAAUAUAUCAUGAUUGGAAUGGAACAAAUGAUGCGGUUAAGUGAUGAACCCUGAAAAAUGUAUACGUAUUCAUACAUAUUCUUACCAUUUUAGUGGAUACAUGAUAUCUAUCGUCCUAUGGUGACCAUUGACUUGAUUUUUAUGAACUUCCUUAUGCAUUUUGAAAAGCUUUUAUCUAUUCUUCUGAAGUCAAGUGGUAUGGUGGUGGAAAUGAAUCUAACAAGUUGAUAUAAUGCAAAAACGAUAAAAUGAUUCCAGCUUGUAGUAAAGCUUAGGCAACAACAACAACAAACCCAGUGUAUUCCCACCUAGUGGGGUCUGGGGGGGUAAGAUGUACGCAGUCCAUACCUCUACCUCUGAUGAAGUAGAAAGGCUGUUUCCAAUAGACCCCCGGCUCAAGGCACGAGAUACCACACAAAUACAUAGUGCAGCACAAAAGCAGAUUACAUAACAUAAAUACGGCACCCAUAAGUAAUAUAAAGCAGAGGAAAGCAGGGGAAAGCACACAAAUUCGUAAUACAACAUGGAACACGGAACACGGAAUCAUGACAAGAAUAAAACCUCAAUGAUGAAAAAGUGUUUCGGGCAAGUAUAUGUACCACGCGAGCUCCCCAUGGAUCACUGCUCCUGAAAAAUCUCAAUGGUGAAAGAGCAUGUGUAUCCCAGGUUAUUAUUGGCCAUUGCACUUCAUAACAUCUUACUUACAUGAUUUAAUAUGAUUUUUCUAAUUGAGCAUACAAGAAUACAUUUCUUUUC